GAAUCUUUCAACCGAAGCUGUGGUAACGGGAACAACAAGAAGUAUUUCACAAAGCUGUUUAGCCGGGUGUAUCCCACAUCAGCUUCCAUAAUAUUAAUCAAUGGACUUCCAUGUAUCACAUUUCUAUUGUAGAUGAUUCACCGCGAUAUGAAAAUUACAUUUGUCUAAUAACUAUCCGAUUUUCAUUACUGUUCGUCAGAUUUUCUCCGGGGGGUUGCCU